rnacentral:lncRNA from 1 species
AUCUAUUGUUCUGCCCUCCCUCAGCUCUGGCCUCCGUGGCACUGACUGUCCCUCGGCUGGCAUGUACCAGUGCCUUGUUCUACGGUGAUGUCUCACGGGGCAUGUCCUGUCAUCUGGUGUCCAGCAGAGUUGAGCAUCUCAGAGCAUGUAACCUCCGCAAACCGGCUUUCUCACAGCCUUCCGGGGAGUAUGCUGCAUGCCUUGGUGUUUUCUCUGCGUGUGUACACACCAUGUGAGUGCAGUGACUUCGGAGGCCUGAAGAGGGCGUCAGAUCCCCCGGGACUGGAGUGACGGUUGUGAGUCACAUGUAGGUGCAAGGAAGGAGAUUGAACUGGUCUUCUGUGUAAGCAAUAUCAAAUAUGAAAAUUUUUUCUAUCAAAUACUGUAAAAUCUGUUUGGGACAUUGGAAUUAAAAUUCUUUGUCUUACCCACAUCCUA